rnacentral:rRNA from 1 species
AUUGAACGCUGGCGGCAUGCCUUACACAUGCAAGUCGAACGGCAGCACGGGUGCUUGUACCUGGUGGCGAGUGGCGAACGGGUGCGUAAUACAUCUGCACAUGUCCUGAUGUGGGGGAUAGCCCGUCGAAAGCCGGAUUAAUACCGCAUACGAUCUACGGAUGAAAGCGGGGGUGCUUUGAGCCUCGCGCCAUAGGGUUGUCGGCUGGCUUCUUAGCUAGUUGGUGGGGUAAUGGCAUACCACGGCGACGAUCAGUAGCUGGUCUGAGAGGAGGACAAGCAACACUGGGACUGAGACACGGCCCAGACUCCUACGGGAGGCAGCAGUGGGGAAUGUUGGACAAUGGGCGAAAGGCUGAUCCAGCAAUGCCGCGUGGGUGAAGAAGGCCUUCGGGUUGGAAAGCACUUCUGUCCGGAAAGAAAACCUUGGCCCUAAUACGGUCGGGGGAUGACGGUACCGUAAGAAUAAGCACCGGCUAACUACGUG